UGGGGAAUUUUGGACAAUGGGCGCAAGCCUGAUCCAGCCAUGCCGCGUGUCUGAAGAAGGCCUUCGGGUUGUAAAGGACUUUUGUCAGGGAAGAAAAGGCUGUUGCUAAUAUCAGCGGCUGAUGACGGUACCUGAAGAAUAAGCACCGGCUAACUACGUGCCAGCAGCCGCGGUAAUACGUAGGGUGCGAGCGUUAAUCGGAAUUACUGGGCGUAAAGCGAGCGCAGACGGUUACUUAAGCAGGAUGUGAAAUCCCCGGGCUCAACCUGGGAACUGCAUUCGAAACUGGCAGGCUAGAGUCUUGUAGAGGGGGGCAGAAUUCCAGGUGUAGCGGUGAAAUGCGUAGAGAUCUGGAGGAAUACCGGUGGCGAAGGCGGCCCCCUGGACAAAGACUGACGCUCAGGUGCGAAAGCGUGGGGAGCAAACAGGAUUAGAUACCCUGGUAGUCCACGCCGUAAACGAUGUCAACUUGGAGGUUGUGCCCUUGAGGUGUGGCUUCCGGAGCUAACGCGUUAAGUCGACCGCCUGGGGAGUACGGCCGCAAGGUUA
rnacentral:rRNA from 1 species